UGACACUUAGCGAUGGAAAUAGGCUAAAAGGGGAAGGGCUGAGGGAAUCUAUAGGAGAGUGUAAAGCAGAAUGUUCUACCAAGAUCUAUCUGCUCAGUACUCAGGGAAUGGGGACAGAGAGAGAGUAAUGACCAGAGAUGGUACUCUUAGAUGAGACUUGGGGUUCAGUUUGGACAAGAAGAAAGGGAACUGAGGUCUGAAGAUGCCUACCUGCUUCCUUGGCAGGUUCCUAGGAAAUCUCCAAACUAAUGCUAAUGACAGAGCUCCAAAAGGAAGUGUGAAAGAAAGAAGUAAAAGAAAAUGUAGGUUCCAUAGUGAAACUCAAUUUCUAGCUUCAGAGUAAUGCAGAUUUACCCCCAAAGCAAUUGCCUGAUCUGAGAAACAGGACAGAAAGAAGUUUGAGGGACGUUGAAUGGAAGUUCAGAAGACUGUGGGAUUAAUCCUAAAGUACUAAUGUGAAUGUAGUAGCAACCCCAGAAGGAAGGAAAAAGAGAAAUAAGAAGUAUUCUUUAAAGAAACAAUGGUUGGCUCUCUUGCUCUCUUAUCCUCUUCCUUCUCUGUCCCUUCUCUCCCCAUUCCCCUCCCCCUCUCUGUCCCUGUGUUCAUGGCUGGCCUCUGCUUCUUUACACUCUCUCUCUCUCUCUCUCUCUCUCUCUCUCUCUCUCUCUCUCUCUCUCUCUCUCCUCUCUCAACUCAUCUCCCCAUGCCCUAAAUAAACUCUAUUCUAUACAGAAAAAGAAAGGAAGGAAGUAAGGAGAAAGAAAGAAAGAAAAGAAGAGAAGAGAAGAGAGAAGAGAAGAGAAGAGAAGAGAAGAGAAGAGAAGAGAAGAGAAGAGAAGAGAAGAGAAGAGAAGAGAAGAUCUGGAGCUGAGCACAGUUAGCCCCAGUAGUUAUCACAAUCUUCAGGAAGCAAUAGUAGAUUUUUUUUAAUUCAAAGCCAGCUCAGACUGUGUAUGAAGAUGUUGCCUCAAAAACAAUUAUGGUAAGCACUAAAGGUAAAUUUAAGAAAGAAAAGGUAAAAACUGCUAGCUUUAAAUUUAAAGAGUUAAACAUGCCAAUUUUUCAAGGAAUCUCAGUCAACAAACACAAAAGAAUAUAUCUGUCCAUGAAACCACAGUUAAGCUGCUGAGAGUAAAAGAGUGAAAAUUAUCAAUGCUGCAAGAGAAGGUCUCAUGGCUUGGCACGGAACAGCGGUAUGAUUAAUGGCUGAUUUCCUCAUUAGAAAACUGGAAGCUAAAAGGUGGAGGGAAUGACAAAUUCAAAAUGCUGAAAGAAAAAUCAUCUGUCAACAAAUUAAAGCGAUCCUUCAAACAUGAAGGUGAAAGAAAGAGAGCCAUACAUAACUAAAAAUGGAGAUAAUUCAUGUCUAGCCACUCUACAGGAAACACCAAGAAAAGUUUCUGAGCUAAACGUAAAUGACAGUGCAGAAUAAGUUCAAGCUACAAGGCGGGAAAAGAACAUUGUAAGUGGAAGAAGAGAAAUUAACCGCUCCGGAGCUGUCCUGCCAUAUCCACCUCACUCACAGAAAGGAUGCAAGGACAUUUCCUCUGCUAGGUUUUAAAUCUGAGUUUCUAAGAACCAGAGUUCAUGUCAUAAAAACUCAAGUUCAAGAACUGGAUCUAGGAUAGAGAGAUGGUGGAAAUUCUCAAACUAUUAGUAGUUUUAUAGAAUAUUAAUAGAUAUCAAAUGAGAGGAAAAGAUUUUUGUGGAGAAAUACACUUAAAAGAAUGGAGUAAAAAAAAGUGACC
rnacentral:lncRNA from 1 species